GUUUGACGUGACUCUCGUGUUAUAAAUGAUUAAUCCUGGGUGUAUUUGGUCACCUUGUUACCUCUUGCACACUUUCAGUCUGUGUCUUCUCUCUCCCUCCAAAUUGAGAGCCACAUUACUUGCUUGCUUCUGCACCAAGCGACUACCACCCGUUUUGCUGAACCAAAGUCAGUUCGUUGCCUCCUUUUGUUUGUCGUCUUCUUCAUCUUAGAAUAUGGCCUUUUGUGCUCCUUCUCGCUUCUUGUUUGGCCUCCUCACAUCUUCUGCUCCUUUGGGUUGUUCAUCUUUUCUUUUCUCGUACUAGUUCCGAAACAGGUUAAAAAAAUAAAGGGGGCAAAAAAGGAGGAGACUUUAGAUUUGAGGUUUGUUUUUGGGUAGUUUAGUUGGGUCAUGGCAGUUGGCUGUGAUCUUGAAGUAGAUGUCAAUGGAGAAGAGACUUUCAUGGUGGACAAGGUAAAUACGAUUCUGGUGCUCUCAUCUUUUUGAUUUCUUUUCUCUUCGCGUCUUACAGCUUCCAAAAUUGAUGCUUUUUGUUUAUCUUUUCCCAUAGAUUUGAUCUGUUUAAUUCGGCAUAUAUGCCUUCAACUGUUCUUAUUUUUUGCAAUUACUUCUUCCAUCCAGAAUAUCCAAUGUUGUUCACAUAUUUAGUGAUCUAGUUUUUUUUGUGCUUAUUAAUUAUGGAAUUUGAGUAGUUUCAUGAUUCCUGCAUUCUCUGGCAAUUUUUUUUUCUUAUUUUCCAUGUAAUUAUCUAUGAUUUCUGUAUUUGUACAAAACAACCUAUUAAAUUUACAACGGCAAAGCAGUCUUGUGGGUCAUAGUUCUGAUGGCUUCUAUUUCUUCUAUUUUGGCAUUGUGUAUUUAUCGCUCUUGUCAUGGGGUGGCAUUGAUGUUCAUACGUUCAUUUGUUUUUGUUCGCUCCUUUUGAGAUGGAAAGAAAGAGAGUUGCUUUUUUGACAUUUAUUACUGUUUAUUACCCUUCUUUGCUGGGUUGUUUAGCAGACAUCUUUUCUUUUCAUUGCCCACACACAAUUUAUUGUCGUCGAUAACGACCUCACGGCUUUAUCUUGCAGGUUUUAGCUGUAGAUUCCCAUUUUAAUCUUGCUUUUAUUGUUUUUCUAAGUUCAAUGACUUCAUUCUUUUGGUGGUUGUUUUAGACGCUCAAAGGUUGCAUUGUCUUUAUUAAAUUCCCUGUCUACUGAGUACUGACAAAUUAAUUACCUUUCCUUGAACUUUAACUGGUUUGGUUUAGACAAAAAUAAUCUUCUGUAUAAACUUUUGCUACUCUGUCAUUAUUUUCUUCAUUGUUAUAUCUUUUUGGUAUUAACUAGCUCUUUGUAAUAGUUGAGUUAGUUCAUCAAAUGUGUUACAUAUUUGCAUUGGUAUCUAAGUCCGUAUGCUUGUUUCCUGACUCUUUUCUAUUGGAUAUUUGCAGAAGAUUAUUUCUUCAUAUUCAGGCAGAUUAAGAAAAUUAUUUGGUAAAUCAACAGGUUCUGCACGAAAUAUCAAAGUAAUAUUCAAUGACUUCCCAGGAGGGGCUGAAAGUUUUGAGCUCUUUUCAAGGUUUUGUUACAACAAUGGUAGAAUUGAUACCACUCCUUGCAAUAUUUCACUCCUCCAUUGUGCAGCACAAUUCAUGGAGAUGAACAAUUCUGUAUCUGGUUCUCAAAACUUAAUGGAACAGACUGAGAAAUCACUUCAAGAGAUCAAUGAUUGGACAUGGUCAGAGCUAUUGAUGAUUAUAAAGCAGUGCCAAGGUUUAUUUCCCUCAGUGGAUUCUUCACCUAUUCUUGAGAAAUGUAUGGACUCCAUUAUCGGAAGGAUAUCUUUGUAUAGUGAAUCAAGUCCAUGUCUAUCCACUUCUUCCCUAGAUAGCUCUGGCAUUCGGGUUUCCUGUGACUCCAGAAGCACUGAGAGUUUGAAAAGUAGCUUUUCUCGAGCAACAUGGUGGUUUGAGGAUCUUUCAGUUUUAAGUCCUGAUUUGAUUGAAAUGGUUGUAAAAUCCUUGGUCUCGCAGAAAUUUGAUCAUGCCAUCAUUGUUAGGUUUCUCUUUUAUUAUCAGAAAUCAAAGUUCUAUACUGCCACAUUAGAUGAGAAACGAAAAUUGGUUGAAACAGUCAUUGAUAUGCUUUAUAUUCUUGAUUGGAAUUCUGUUUUGUGCAAGAGUCUUUUUGAGAUACUUCGAGUUGCUUUGAGUUUGAAUAUAAGCAAAUGUAGUAGGAACAAGUUGGAGAGUAUGAUAGGUUCUCAAUUGGAUCAAGCAGCUCUAGAUAAUCUGCUUAUUCCAUCUCCACACGGGAUGGCUCACUUGUAUGAUAUCAAUCUUGUUUUAAGGUUCUUGAAAGCAUUUCUACAUGAUGGAAAAUCGCAAGUAACUUCAAUGAGAUUGAAGAAAGUUGCCAGGUUGAUGGAUUUGUAUAUGGGAGAAGUAGCUCCAGAUCCUUGUUUAAAACCUUCCAAGUUCUUAGCCUUAGCCGUGGCCUUGCCAGACUCUGCUAGAGAUUCAUAUGAUGAAAUCUACCAUGCCACAGACAUUUAUUUAGAGGUAGUCCGUUGACCCCACAAUUUUUGCUGUGAUUCUUAAUUCAUUGUUAGUGCAUUAUGUAUUGGAGAAAUCAUGUGAUGGUUUUAAUAUCCUUGUGUAUGCUAUUAUCAAAUGUUAAUUUCAUGCCUUAUCCUAUUCUUAACCAUAACUUUAUCUAAAAAAAAGCUUCAGAUGUGCGUUAGUUAGACUAAAAUCUGUUCUUUCUUCUAGGUGCAUUCUGGAUUGUCUGAAGAAGAAAAAAUGAAGAUAUAUUGUGUAUUGAACUGUGAGAAGCUCUCAGCUGAAGCUCGCAACCACCUUUCUCAGAACAAGAAAUUUUCAUCAAAAAGUGCAGUGCAAGCUCUCAAAUCUCAGCAACUCAAGCUAAAGAGCCUACUCCAAGGAACUAACAAUUUGAAAGGCAAUGGUGGUUCCCCUAGUAGUUUGGGAGAAAUGAGAAGCAGAGGAAAGACAAAUGAAGCUGGUGAACAAAUCGUGCUUUAUGCUAGCAAAUUUGAGCUUUCUGAUAGUGAGAUGCUAAGGGCUCAUUUGCAAGGAAUGCAAUGUAGGGUCAUGGAAUUGGAGAAAGUCUGCAGAAAAAUGCAAACCCAGAUUACAAAAAUUAUGAAAUCAAGAGUAUCUAGCCAUAGUAAUGCCAGAUCCUUGCCCAAGCUUUGUUCAUGACGGGAAUUUUUUCGCUUGAUAUUAUAAUGCCUAUUAUCUGUUUCUUAUGUAUAUAGCAUGAAGAAAUUUUUUUUCUUUAAUUUUUUUGGGGGUUUUAACAGUUUUUCCUUCUUUCUGAAAAUCUAAAGGUAACAGGGAAGAGAUCUUAUUUGUACAGCUAGCUAGUUACAGAAAAAGAGACAAAAGUUGUGUUUUCUUCAUGGUUAGUGUCUUUUAUCCUUACUAUAUUGUUGUAAAUAUAAGAACCCAAAGGUCGAGUCCUUUUCCUAGUCACAAUCUAUUUGGAUGGAGCGAGAGAAGAUUUUAUGAAGUUAAGGUAAGAUACUGAGAAGUAAAAUAGCAAACUUCUCCGAUCUUCUAAU
rnacentral:misc_RNA from 1 species